rfam:Camelus ferus unplaced genomic scaffold scaffold681, whole genome shotgun sequence.
GAGGGUAUAGCUUAGUGGCAGAGCGUGUACUUAGCAUGCAAGAGGUCCUGGGUUCAAGCCCCAGUACCUCCA